AGCGAAUUGGCAGAGUGGCCGAUUGCAGCGGGUUGCUAACCCGUACUCUCCGCAAGGGGAGCGUAGGUUCGAAUCCUACAUUCGCUACCA
rnacentral:tRNA from 1 species